ACAUGCAAGUCGAACGAUGAACCCGAAGCUUGCUUUGGGGGAUUAGUGGCGAACGGGUGAGUAACACGUGAGCAACCUGCCCCUCACUCUGGGAUAAGCGCUGGAAACGGCGUCUAAUACUGGAUACGAGUCGCAACCGCAUGGUUAGCGAUUGGAAAGAUUUUUUGGUGGGGGAUGGGCUCGCGGCCUAUCAGCUUGUUGGUGAGGUAAUGGCUCACCAAGGCGUCGACGGGUAGCCGGCCUGAGAGGGUGACCGGCCACACUGGGACUGAGACACGGCCCAGACUCCUACGGGAGGCAGCAGUGGGGAAUAUUGCACAAUGGGCGGAAGCCUGAUGCAGCAACGCCGCGUGAGGGAUGACGGCCUUCGGGUUGUAAACCUCUUUUAGCAGGGAAGAAGCGAAAGUGACGGUACCUGCAGAAAAAGCACCGGCUAACUACGUGCCAGCAGCCGCGGUAAUACGUAGGGUGCAAGCGUUAUCCGGAAUUAUUGGGCGUAAAGAGCUCGUAGGCGGUUUGUCGCGUCUGCUGUGAAAUCCCGAGGCUCAACCUCGGGCCUGCAGUGGGUACGGGCAGACUAGAGUGCGGUAGGGGAGAUUGGAAUUCCUGGUGUAGCGGUGGAAUGCGCAGAUAUCAGGAGGAACACCGAUGGCGAAGGCAGAUCUCUGGGCCGUAACUGACGCUGAGGAGCGAAAGGGUGGGGAGCAAACAGGCUUAGAUACCCUGGUAGUCCACCCCGUAAACGUUGGGAACUA
rnacentral:rRNA from 1 species